AAAUCUACACUACAUUGUUAUCUGUCACCCCAUUGAUCGCCAGGGUUGAUUUGACUGAUCUGGCUGGCUAGGCAGGUGUCCCCUUCCUACCUCACUGCUCCAUGUAAGUCCCUCCUGAAGCUGCGCGCUUGGUGGAAGAGGACAACCAUCCUCCAUAGAGGAGGACCGUUCUAGGUCAAGGGUAUACGAGUACCUGAACUCCCCUGUUAGAACCUCCAAACAAACUCUCAAAAUCUACACUACACAAAGCAAUCUACACAUUUAAUGCAAUCUAUAUCGAAAUACCACCAACAUUUUUUUUUU
rfam:Canis lupus familiaris chromosome 14, whole genome shotgun sequence.